rnacentral:rRNA from 1 species
AAUAGAUACCCGGGUAGUCCAUGCCGUAAACGAUGAGUACUAGCUGUCUGGGGUAUCGACUCCCUGGGUAGCGAAGCAAACGCGAUAAGUACUCCGCCUGGGGACUACGGCCGCAAGGCUAAACUCAAAGGAAUUGACGGGGGCCCGCACAAGCAGCGGAGCGUGCGGUUUAAUUCGAAGCUACGCGAAGAACCUUACCAGGGCUUGACAUGUCCCUGACCGCCGAUGAAAGUCGGUUUCCCUUCGGGGCAGGGUCACAGAUGCUGCAUGGCUGUCGUCAGCUCGUGCCGUGAGGUGUUGGGUUAAGUCCCGCAACGAGCGCAACCCUCGUCGUGUGUUGAAUUUUUCACACGAGACUGCCCGGAGCAACCGGGAGGAAGGCGGGGAUGACGUCAAGUCAGCAUGGCUCUUACGUCCUGGGCUACUCGCACGCUACAAUGGGCAGUACAGACCGUUGCGAUAUCGCGAGAUGGAGCUAAUCGGACAAAGCUGUCCUCAGUACGGAUUGCAGGCUGCAACUCG